CAAUAGCGUAUAUUAAAGUUGUUGCAGUUAAAAAGCUCGUAGUUGGACCUUGGACCUGGACAGGCGGUCCGCCUCACGGCGUGUACUGUCUUGCUGGGUCUUUCCUCUUGGUGAUCUGUUGUUUCGGCAGCAGGGAACCAGGACUUUUACUUUGAAAAAAUUAGAGUGUUCAAAGCAGGCUCGACGCCGGAAUAUAUUAGCAUGGAAUAAUAAAAUAGGACGUGCGGUUCUAUUUUGUUGGUUUUUGGGAUCGCCGUAAUGAUUAAUAGGGACAGUCGGGGGCAUUAGUACUCACAUGCUAGAGGUGAAAUUCUUGGAUUUUGUGAAGACUAACUUCUGCGAAAGCAUUUGCCAAGGAUGUUUUCAUUAA
rnacentral:rRNA from 1 species